GUGAGUCAUCGAAUCUUUGAACGCACCUUGCGCCCUUUGGUAUUCCGAAGGGCAUGUCUGUCUGAGUGUCUCGAAAUUCUCAACCUCCAAUCCUUUGUGGUUGGCUGGUUGGAUCGUGGGUGCUUGCCGGCUUCGGUCUGGCUCACCUGAAAUACAUUUGUGAUCGAGCACCCUUGCGAGUUGGCCCGACUAGGCGUGAUAGUGAUAACGUUCGUCUAGGAUCCUUGCUUCGUGCGAGGAGCCGCUCCUGUUGUGGUGCCGUUUGAUUGCAUUACCCUAUACAUCUUUGGUUUUGACCUCAGAUCAGGCAGGACUACCCGCUGAACUUAAGCAUAUCAAUAAGCGGAGG
rnacentral:rRNA from 1 species